rnacentral:rRNA from 1 species
AGCGGGAUGAGCUCAAAUUUAAAAUCUGGCGGCCUCAGGUCGUCCGAGUUGUAGUCUAGAGAAUCGUUUUCCGCGUUGGCCUGUGUACAAGUCCCUUGGAACAGGGCGUCAUAGAGGGUGAGAAUCCCGUCCUUGACACAGAUUACCAAUGCUUUGUGAUGCGAUCUCGAAGAGUCGAGUUGUUUGGGAAUGCAGCUCAAAAUGGGUGGUAAAUUCCAUCUAAAGCUAAAUAUUGGCGAGAGACCGAUAGCGAACAAGUACCGUGAGGGAAAGAUGAAAAGCACUUUGGAAAGAGAGUUAAACAGUACGUGAAAUUGUUAAAAGGGAAACGAUUGAAGUCAGUCAUGCUUUCCGAGACUCAGCCGAUUCUGUCGGUGUACUUCUCGGUUGGCAGGCCAGCAUCAGUUUCGAUCUGUGGAAAAGGUUGGAGGGAACGUGGCAUCUCCGGAUGUGUUAUAGCCCUUCUUCGAAUACAUAGAGCGGGACUGAGGAACGCAGCGCGCCUUUUAUUAGGUUGGCCCUCGGGUACAUACGCGCUUAGGAUGCUGGCAUAAUGGCUUUAAACGACCCGUCUUGAAACACGGACC